rnacentral:rRNA from 1 species
GACGAGCGCUGGCGGCGUGCUUAACACAUGCAAGUCGAACGGUAAGGCCCUUCGGGGUACACGAGUGGCGAACGGGUGAGUAACACGUGGGUGAUCUGCCCUGCACUUCGGGAUAAGCCUGGGAAACUGGGUCUAAUACCGGAUAGGACCACUGCCUGCAUGGGUGGCGGUGGAAAGCUUUUGCGGUGUGGGAUGGGCCCGCGGCCUAUCAGCUUGUUGGUGGGGUGAUGGCCUACCAGGGCGACGGCGGGUAGCCGGCCUGAGAGGGUGACCGGCCACACUGGGACUGAGAUACGGCCCAGACUCCUACGGGAGGCAGCAGUGGGGAAUAUUGCACAAUGGGCGCAAGCCUGAUGCAGCGACGCCGCGUGAGGGAUGACGGCCUUCGGGUUGUAAACCUCUUUCAGCACCGACGAAGCGCAAGUGACGGUAGGUGCAGAAGAAGGACCGGCCAACUACGUGCCAGCCGCCGCCGUAA